GGGCGGGCGGCGGCUUACCAUGCAAGUCGAGCGGAGAGAGGUAGCUUGCUACUGAUCUUAGCGGCGGACGGGUGAGUAAUGCUUAGGAAUCUGCCUAUUAGUGGGGGACAACAUUUCGAAAGGAAUGCUAAUACCGCAUACGUCCUACGGGAGAAAGCAGGGGAUCUUCGGACCUUGCGCUAAUAGAUGAGCCUAAGUCGGAUUAGCUAGUUGGUGGGGUAAAGGCCUACCAAGGCGACGAUCUGUAGCGGGUCUGAGAGGAUGAUCCGCCACACUGGGACUGAGACACGGCCCAGACUCCUACGGGAGGCAGCAGUGGGGAAUAUUGGACAAUGGGCGCAAGCCUGAUCCAGCCAUGCCGCGUGUGUGAAGAAGGCCUUAUGGUUGUAAAGCACUUUAAGCGAGGAGGAGGCUACUUUAGUUAAUACCUAGAGAUAGUGGACGUUACUCGCAGAAUAAGCACCGGCUAACUCUGUGCCAGCAGCCGCGGUAAUACAGAGGGUGCAAGCGUUAAUCGGAUUUACUGGGCGUAAAGCGCGCGUAGGCGGCUAAUUAAGUCAAAUGUGAAAUCCCCGAGCUUAACUUGGGAAUUGCAUUCGAUACUGGUUAGCUAGAGUGUGGGAGAGGAUGGUAGAAUUCCAGGUGUAGCGGUGAAAUGCGUAGAGAUCUGGAGGAAUACCGAUGGCGAAGGCAGCCAUCUGGCCUAACACUGACGCUGAGGUGCGAAAGCAUGGGGAGCAAACAGGAUUAGAUACCCUGGUAGUCCAUGCCGUAAACGAUGUCUACUAGCCGUUGGGGCCUUUGAGGCUUUAGUGGCGCAGCUAACGCGAUAAGUAGACCGCCUGGGGAGUACGGUCGCAAGACUAAAACUCAAAUGAAUUGACGGGGGCCCGCACAGCGGUGGAGCAUGUGGUUAAUUCGAUGCACGCGAAGACCUUACCUGGCCUUGACUAGAAGAACUUUCCGAAGAUGGAUGGUGCUUCGGGACUUACUACGGGGCUGCUGCUGGCGCCGCUCGGGCGGGAAG
rnacentral:rRNA from 1 species